GCUGAUGGUGUACCUUUUUCUCCCCUAUUUGGUUCUUUCUCAAAACCCCUGAAAAUCAAAUUUCCAUUUCUACCUCCUUUUCUAACUUACAGGAUCUCAAGAAGAUCCAACGUCAUCGGCUCGCCCAACCCCGGCCUCGGUACUUCUCUCACUUCCAUUUCUGAUCCUCUUUUUAUUUUAUUUUUCUCCUGUUGAUUUGUUGGAUUCUUGAAGUUUCUGAAAAAUAAUUAGAAUAAAACAAGAACCUCAAGCGAGUGGACAGGAUGAGGUACCCGCAAAUGCACAGGCAGGGCCUUCAUCAGGGAGGAAGCCGCGGAAGCCCAGCAGGUUCAGGCCGGGGACUGUGGCUCUUCGGGAGAUACGGAAGUAUCAGAAGUCCUGUGAGCUGUUGAUACCCGCAGCUCCUUUCAUUCGAUGCGUGGGUAAGGGAGCUAACUGCUUUCUAUUCUAGGGGAGUUAAUUGUUGGAUGACUGAAGCUUUAGUAGCAAUCCAAGAGGUAUGGGA